rnacentral:rRNA from 1 species
AGUUGUGGGGGAUAACCCACCGAAAGGUGGGCUAAUACCGCAUGAUCUGGCGACAGCAAAGCGGGGGAUCGCAAGACCUCGCGCGAUUGGAGCGGCCGAUGUCCGAUUAGCUAGUUGGUGGGGUAAAGGCCUACCAAGGCGACGAUCGGUAGCUGGUCUGAGAGGAUGAUCAGCCACACUGGGACUGAGACACGGCCCAGACUCCUACGGGAGGCAGCAGUGGGGAAUUUUGGACAAUGGGGGCAACCCUGAUCCAGCCAUGCCGCGUGAGUGAAGAAGGCCUUCGGGUUGUAAAGCUCUUUCGGUAGGAACGAAACGGUUACGACUAAUACUCGUGACUAAUGACGGUACUUACAGAAGAAGCACCGGCUAACUACGUGCCAGCAGCCGCGGUAAUACGUAGGGUGCGAGCGUUAAUCGGAAUCACUGGGCGUAAAGCGUGCGCAGGCGGUUAUUUAAGUCAGGUGUGAAAGCCCUGGGCUUAACCUAGGAAUUGCGCUUGAGACUGGAUAGCUUGGAGUGUGGCAGAGGGAGGUGGAAUUCCACGUGUAGCAGUGAAAUGCGUAGAGAUGUGGAGGAACACCGAUGGCGAAGGCAGCCUCCUGGGCCAGCACUGACGCUCAUGCACGAAAGCGUGGGGAGCAAACAGGAUUAGAUACCCUGUAGUCCACGCCCUAAACGAUGUCGACUGGUUGUUGGUGGGGUUAAACCCAUUAGUAACGAAGCUAACGCGUGAAGUCGACCGCCUGGGGAGUACGGCCGCAAGGUUAAAACUCAAAGGAAUUGACGGGGACCCGCACAAGCGGUGGAUGAUGUGGAUUAAUUCGAUGCAACGCGAAGAACCUUACCUACCCUUGACAUGUACGGAAGCUCGAUGAGAGUCGAGUGUGCCCGAAAGGGAGCCGUAACACAGGUCUGCAUGGCUGUCGUCAGCUCGUGUCGUGAGAUGUUGGGUUAAGUCCCGCAACGAGCGUAACCCUUGUCACUAGUUGCUACGCAAGGGCACUCUAGUGAGACUGCCGGUGACAAACCGGAGGAAGGUGGGGAUGACGUCAAGUCCUCAUGGCCCUUAUGGGUAGGGCUUCACACGUCAUACAAUGGCGCAUACAGAGGGCUGCCAACCCGCGAGGGGGAGCCAAUCCCAGAAAGUGCGUCGUAGUCCGGAUUGCAGUCUGCAACUCGACUGCAUGAAGUCGGAAUCGCUAGUAAUCGCGGAUCAGCAAUGUCGCGGUGAAUACGUUCCCGGGUCUUGUACACACCGCCCGUCACACCAUGGGAGUGGGUUUCACCAGAAGCCGGUUGCCUAACCUGCGAAAGAGGGCGCUGACCACGGUGAGAUUCAUGACCG